rnacentral:rRNA from 1 species
UACAGAGGUCUCAAGCGUUGUUCGGAUUCAUUGGGCGUAAAGGGCUCGUAGGCGGCCAACUAAGUCAGACGUGAAAUCCCUCGGCUUAACCGGGGAACUGCGUCUGAUACUGGAUGGCUUGAGUGUGGGAGAGGGAUGCGGAAUUCCAGGUGUAGCGGUGAAAUGCGUAGAUAUCUGGAGGAACACCGGUGGCGAAGGCGGCAUCCUGGACCACGACUGACGCUGAGUGAGCGAAAGCCAGGGGAGCAAACGGG